rnacentral:rRNA from 1 species
UACGGCUCAGUAACACGUCGAUAAUUUGCCCUAAGGUCUUGGAUAGCGUUGGGAAACUGACGGUAAGACAAGAUAGAAGAUUGGUACUGGAAUGUUCUUUCUUCGAAAAGCAAUGCCUUAGGAUAAGUCGGCGGCUGAUUAGGUAGUUGGUGAGGUAAUGGCUCACCAAGCCUUGGAUCAGUAGGGGGGAUGAGAGUCCUUACCCCGAGAAGGGCACUGAGAUACUGGCCCUAGCCCUAAGGGGUGCAGCAGGCGCGAAAACUUUACAAUGCGCGCAAGCGUGAUAAGGGGAUUCCAAGUGCUUGGCCUUUGAGUCAAGCUUUUGUCGAGUGUAAGAAGCUCGGCGAAUAAGUGGUGGGUAAGACGGGUGCCAGCCGCCGCGGUAACACCUGCGCCACGAGUGGGAGCCACUAUUAUUGGGUCUAAAGCGUUCGUAGCCGGACUGAAAAGUCUCUUGUGAAAUUGUUGCGCUCAACGUAACAGCGCGCAAGGGAAACUAUUAGUCUAGAGACUGGGAAGAGCUUGGAGUAUUCCAGGGGGAGCGGUAAAAUGUUAUAAUCCUUGGAAGACUACCUGUGGCGAAGGCGCCAAGCUAGAACAGGUCUGACGGUGAGGGACGAAGGCUAGGGGAGCAAAACGGAUUAGAUACCCGAGUAGUCCUAGCAGUAAACUCUGUGAACUAUGUGUUGCAUAAUCCUCGUGAUUGUGCAGUGCCUAAGCGAAGGCGUUAAGUUCACCACCUGGGAAGUAUGGCCGCAAGACUGAAACUUAAAGGAAUGUGCGCGGGGGAG